AUGAAAGCAUAGGAAUCUUAAAAGCCUUUGAGAUUAGCGUGAUGCAUGUGGAUGAACCAAUAAAGGAGGACUUGUUUAUUUUCGAUACGGAAUGUGGCAUUGAAGUUGUAGGCCAUUCCGAUCAGAAGAAAGUUAUCGACGCAUUGUGCUGUUGUGUGUUUCUCGCUUCACCACUACACUAAAAUUUUAAGUGAGAAUGGGAAGGAAAAAAGAAAAGACCUGAGAGUAUCCUGUAAAGUAUUAUGCUUUAUGCAGUCCGAACAGGGAAGAAAAGUCACGGUGCAUUUGACCAUGUCCAAUGAUGAUGUUGACAGUUUGAUUGUUGAUAGUAUUUUCAUCAGAUCAAUUGGGUCAUUAAUUGGAAUAGAUAAGAACAAAAAAAGUACAUGUACUUCAGUGUUUCCUUAAAAGAUUUGUGCCAUCAAUCAAAGUAGAGGUCAUCCCAUAUCAGCUCAAGAAUAUUAAAGAAAGUUGGAUGGAUCAAGCUAAGAUGUUGAACCAGACAUGGCAAAGUCAAUGGAGAUUUGGAAAAGAAAUGAUGUUUUGUUGUACCCAAUGCAUAUUUUUAAUAUGUCUAUAGAUUAUAGAAAAAAAUUUAAUGUUUAACAGCAUCCUAUCUACCUGGUAGUAUAUACAUGCUGUUUUCAAUAUAUUUAGAAAAUAUGUGUAUGUGAUGAUUGCAGUGCAUGCUCUAUUUGUCCAUCUUUGAAUUUGUUUUCAGUAAAAUAAAUGUAUACAUUAAGGUAUUAAUUGAAGGUUGCUUUUGUCUACACUUACAAGUAACAAGUUUCUUAAAAGGGUUAUUUUGUAAAAUUGCAAGGAAAUUAAUACAUGAACAAUUAAAUUUAAUAUUUUUAUUCAUUAAAUUUUUUCUUACCAGGACCUAAUAUGCUCAAAUAAGUAUUUCUGAAAACUGAAGAGUUUUGUAAAUAAAGCUGCAGUGAACAUUUAACAGUUUAAAAUAUGACACUUGGAAAUUGAAAGGUUGUUAAUUUAGUAGGAAUGAUAAGACCAGUUUAGUAAUCAACUAAAAUUAAAAUCUUUCACAAAUACAUGUAGUUUAUUUUAAAAUUGUUUACAUUUAUAAUCUUUUAAUUUUUUUCUGAAUUUUGAUUUUAAAAAGGAGAAAAAAAUUUUAUAUUUAAAUUAUUAUUUCAUGGAUAUCAAGGAGAUAUAUCUAUCACUGUAACAUUGUUUCUUUUUCCCUGUUCUUGACAAAUAUUUAUGACAGUGUUAUGUCAUUUUGCAGAAUUUGCCUUUUCUCUGAAAUCAGAAGUACUCUGUAAACUCAUUAAAGUAUGAAUUGAAGUCACUUAGAAUUCAUCUUUAUUUUGUUCUGUCUGAUAUUUCAAUUUAGAUUCUCUGACUACCUAAUCCAAUGAUUGAGCUAAUGUCCAUGAAGUGUAGAAA